AUACUUACCUGGCAGGGGAGAUGCACCUUGAUCAUGUAGGAGGUUCACCUAGGAAGAGGCUUAGCCAUUGCACUGCGGCUGCGCUGACCCUUACGACUUCCCCAAAUGUGGGAAUCUCUACUGUAUAAUUUGUGGUAGUGGGGGACUGCGUUUUUUU
rnacentral:snRNA from 1 species